GGGUUGUGGCUCAAUGGUGGAGUGCUCGCCUUGCAUGUGCGGGGCCUUGGGUUCGAUCCUCAGGACACA
rnacentral:tRNA from 1 species